GACGUCGAUAUUCGACGUCAUAAACACGACCAACUUAGGCGGUUAUGACGUCGAUAUUCGACGUAAUCAACACGAUCAACUUUGGUGUUCAUGACGUCGAUAUUCGACGUCAUAAACACGAUCAACUUAGAUGUUUAUGACGUCGAUUUUUGACCUCAUAAGCACGAUCAACUUAGGUGUUUAUGACGUCGAUAUUGGACGUCAUAAACACGAUCAACUUUGGUGUAUAUGACGUCGAUAUUCGACGUC